rnacentral:rRNA from 1 species
CCUACGGGAGGCAGCAGUGAGGAAUAUUGGUCAAUGGACGGAAGUCUGAACCAGCCAUGCCGCGUGCAGGAAGACGGCUCUAUGAGUUGUAAACUGCUUUUGUACAAGGGUAAACCUGAAUACGUGUAUUCAGCUGACAGUACUGUACGAAUAAGGAUCGGCUAACUCCGUGCCAGCAGCCGCGGUAAUACGGAGGAUCCAAGCGUUAUCCGGAUUUAUUGGGUUUAAAGGGUGCGUAGGCGGAUUGAUAAGUUAGAGGUUAAAUGUCCGAGCUUAACUCGGGAACUGCCUCUAAUACUGUUGAUCUAGAGAGUAGAUGCGGUAGGCGGAAUGUAUGGUGUAGCGGUGAAAUGCUGAGAGAUCAUACAGAACACCGAUUGCGAAGGCAGCUUACCAAUCUAUAUCUGACGUUGAGGCACGAAAGCGUGGGGAGCAAACAGGAUUAGAUACCCCAGUAGUC